rnacentral:rRNA from 1 species
UGGGGAAUCUUGCACAAUGGGGGAAACCCUGAUGCAGCGACGCCGCGUGAGCGAUGAAGGUUUUCGAAUUGUAAAGCUCUGUCCUAUGGGAAGAUAAUGACGGUACCAUGGGAGGAAGCCCCGGCUAACUACGUGCCAGCAGCCGCGGUACUACGUAGGGGGCGAGCGUUGUCCGGAAUUACUGGGCGUAAAGGGUUCGCAGGCGGCAUGGCAAGUCCGAUGUAAAAGGCGAACGCUCAACCUUCGUAAGCAUCGGAAACUGUCAAGCUUGAGUGAAGGAGAGGCAAGUGGAAUUCCUAGUGUAGCGGUGGAAUGCGUAGAUAUUAGGAGGAAAACCGGUGGCGAAGGCGACUUGCUGGACUUCAAAUGACGCUGAGGAACGAAAGAGUGGGUAGCAAACAGG